rnacentral:lncRNA from 1 species
GACCAAAAGGACCCAUAGGCUUCUCGGCACGUCCUGGGAAAGAACUAAUGUUCAUAAUGAGUUCCCGUACCAUAGCGCUAGCUUCUUUGAUCUGAUCAAACGAACCUUCAAGCUCAAUAUUUCUUUGAUUUGGAUCUACUUCGUGAUCUUUUAUAGAAAGUUUAACCCCCGUCUGUCGACAAAUCUGCCUAGAGUUUACACCAUUUUUCCCAAUAAUGGUUCCAGCAAAAGAGGCAUCUAUGCUAAUUUUUGCGGUUGCUGAUGAACCAAAGUUUGCCACAGGUGUUGAUCCCAUUGCUCGAGAAUCUUCAUGACCUGGCCCCAUGGGCUUGCCAAGCUCCAUCUCACCGUGGGCAAAGCGGCACUUUUCACCGAAUCUGCAUCCUUCAGGAGUAUUAAUGUUGCUGCAAAGCUUGGUCUUCACAAUUCGAGGAGGACCAUCAGUAAAAGGAACAGCAGCAUUGCUGCCCAAUUUCGCCAUCUGGAUUUGUGCAUUGUAACCGGGAAAAUAAUGCUGGAAGUGACAUGUCUCGCCAAAUGAGCACCCAGAAGUGCUGCACCAUGCAUCAAACAGAAAAAUGAGGGGAAAAAAAUUACUAUGUAAGGUGAAGAAAUAAAUAAUAAUUUUGCUACACUUACACUAUGGUUGACAGCUUUGUUUACACUCUGAAAUGGACAAUAGUUUUACCAUUGAUUUUACUAAUACUUUUCUAAUCAAUGGCCUCGAUUUUGACACCCAACACCUAUUCUAAUCAAUGGCCCCGAUUUUAACACCUCAAAGGGUGUCAAACUAGUUGAACACCAUGCUUAAUUCAAUCAAAAAAAUUAUUAAACCAAAACUUAUGAUUUAAAUCCCCUUCAUGGGAUAAUUUUCAUCAGAAAACAAGUCACCAUGGGAGCACAUCAUUGUUGUACAGGGCCGCUGGCAUAUAUAUCAGUACCAUUUUAAUGCAAUAAAAUCUGUGCACUUCAUAUGAUUAGGAACAUGAUAAACGCCUUAGUGAUACAUCAAUUCUAAUAGAUAGAAUGUUCAUAAUAAGCACAAGGAUGAUAUGAAAUCAGUAGAGGAUCACAUUCUUGCAAAAAGUGAUUGUUUGAGGUAUCUUAGUUCACAAGGACAGAAUGGAAAAGGAUCAAGCAAUAAGAUUACAAUGGGUUGAAUUAAACAAAGUAAGUGAUACAUCAAUUCUAUGCAAUAGAAUGAUACCUAUAAGAAUAAGAAACGAGUGUGUACCCUGACCAAAAGGACCCAUAGGCUUCUCGGCACGUCCUGGGAAAGAACUAAUGUUCAUAAUGAGUUCCCGUACCAUAGCGCUAGCUUCUUUGAUCUGAUCAAACGAACCUUCAAGCUCAAUAUUUCUUUGAUUUGGAUCUACUUCGUGAUCUUUUAUAGAAAGUUUAACCCCCGUCUGUCGACAAAUCUGCCUAGAGUUUACACCAUUUUUCCCAAUAAUGGUUCCAGCAAAAGAGGCAUCUAUGCUAAUUUUUGCGGUUGCUGAUGAACCAAAGUUUGCCACAGGUGUUGAUCCCAUUGCUCGAGAAUCUUCAUGACCUGGCCCCAUGGGCUUGCCAAGCUCCAUCUCACCGUGGGCAAAGCGGCACUUUUCACCGAAUCUGCAUCCUUCAGGAGUAUUAAUGUUGCUGCAAAGCUUGGUCUUCACAAUUCG